rnacentral:rRNA from 1 species
AUGGCUGCUCCGCCAAAUGCUUUUUCGAGCGAGUUACAGAAGUGGAUCUACAACCGUUCUGUAGACUCUAUAUUUUUCAUCACUAUCGGACCAAAAGCAUCUGCAAUUAAUGCACUUAGAGCUCUUAUGAACAAAGUAGAGACUAUUCCUGCAGAAAAAAGAGCUGCGGAGUUAGACCUUCGAGGACAAAAUUGCACGGGCGUUGUAGUGGAGGAGGCAGAUGAUCAUCUUAAGAUCUUAACAUGUGCCCAUCUUAUGCAACACGUAUUCAAGAGUUCAGAACCCCUUUCGCUUCAAGAUGCUUGUUCACUUUUUUCUGUAAGAGUGUUGUGUGAUCAUUACGAGCAGAGCUUCCGCGGGCAAAGCAGGGUAAGAGCAAGAGUUUAUGCACCAGCUUCCAUGAUUGGCAUCGAUUGCGAGAAAGACUUGCUUCUUCUUCAUGUAUACCGAGCAGAUAUUAAGAAUUUGGGCAGAAGAUGUACCAACAGUCACCAGGGCUUGAUUCUUAGUCCAACUCCUCCAGAAGCUUUCGACAAGUGCGCAAUGAUUUCAUGGCCUCCUGGCCUACCUCGAACAGCUGUUGAAGGAUCAAUUUCUCACCCUUCAAGAACAGUCCGUGACUUGGAACUUGUGAACACCGUUGGAUACACAAUGAACCUCACUCAAGUAGUGAUAGCAAGUGAAAAAGGAAGCUCAGGUGCUCCGUUGUUAGAUGGUAAUGGGAGAAUAAUUGGAUUGUUGCAUGGUGGUUUUGGAGGGCAGUUUACAUACUUUAUCUCCCAUGCUGAUAUCGGACGUUUUCUGAGGCGACAUCACGUGGUACAUGGGAUAUGA